rnacentral:rRNA from 1 species
UACAGAGGUCUCAGGCGUUGUUCGGAUUCAUUGGGCGUAAAGGGUGCGUAGGUGGUUAGGUAAGUCGGAUGUGAAAUCCCGGGGCUCAACCUCGGAACUGCAUUCGAUACUGCUUGACUAGAGUACUGGAGAGGAGAUUGGAAUUUACGGUGUAGCAGUGAAAUGCGUAGAUAUCGUAAGGAAGACCAGCGGCGAAGGCGAAUCUCUGGACAGUUACUGACACUGAGGCACGAAGGCCAGGGGAGCAAACGGG